GUCACUUUUAUUACAGAAGAAUGCCUCCUAUUGGCUGAGGGCAUGAAGUUAGAUAUGCAUUAGGGACGAAUCAGGAGAGAGAACAGAAAGCCAGACAUGGAAACAGAUGACUGCAGCUCUUAGAGCUCUCCAUCCCACCUGAUGAUUCAUCUCUCCCUCUGCCUUCCCUGUUCGUUUGAAACAUGCAGUGGAAUUGAACGGGAAGACAGUAUCAAAUACUAAUUAAUCAUGAUUCUGCAUCUAUAUAGCAGUAGACAACACUGACUGAUGUUGUCCUUUGGCUGAGCAAAUUUCCUGCUGCUUGGAGAUCUCAUUCAGAAAUGCUGAUUCAUUUCUCCCUGCCAACUAAAGUGUGCUGCUGCAGAAACCGCGGAUAGAAUGGAUGAUAAGAAAAAUAUACUGUAUCCUAGACCCUGAAUACAAUAAACAAAAGAGAAAGGCAUCCUAGGGUCUCUGGAACAGUUUCCCUUCUUUGCAGUUGUUUACAGUCAGGGUUUGACUAAUUCCAGCUACAGGCUGGAUAUUAGCCAGGACCCUGACUGGAAAAAAUCCUCCUGUGCCGACAUAUUUAUUACAUCAGUUUGCCUCAAAGGGAGGAGGGAAUACAUUUAGAGAUGCAUCAUGAGCCAAUCAGAAGAGAGAUUCUCAAACCCUGGAAUGGAAACAAAUGACUGCAGUCCUUGGAGAUCUGCCUAGGAGCUCCUGAUUCAUCUAUCUCUCUCCCCUCCCUGUUUUUCUCAAAGAAGUAUGAAUAUUGAUUUCGGAGGACAGAAUUUAAUGUAAUUUGCUUGCAUGGUGACCAAGUUCAGUGAAUGGGAGCAGCAACAUGAAUAAUAAAAUGGGCUUCCAUAUGAUUUUGAAGAAAAAAGUGUUUGAUAUGAAAGUUGGAGAAUUAUUGAGGACAAACAUCACAGAGAAAUUUCAUGCAUAUGCCUGAACAUUCGUCAAUAAAGCUUAACAUGUCCUGCAGCAGAAAUCAUGAAAUACAAUGGAUGAGGAGAAAGUUACAAUUAAUCCUAAGAACUGAAUACAAGAAACAAAAGAGAAAAGCAUCCUUGGUGCAGCACACCAGAUUUAGGUUGUUUCCGAAUUUCAAGUUCUACCAGAAAUGGAAGCAUAUCAGACAGGACAACAUGGAGCCUGGUGACCUCUAAGAUGAUGUUUCCAACUGCCGUUGUGAUCACAGGUUAAAGACCCUGGAGCAGAGAGCCCAGAAGCAGCACCAUUGAUGUCUGGCUCAUUCUCUCUUUGGGAAGCCAAAUAGCAUAGCUCCUGCGGUGCUUCUUGCAAAUGGUACACACAGCUCUGUGACUGGUGGCAUGUUCGUUAUCAUUCAUUUGAGAACUUUGUUGGGACAAGACACACAGUGGUUGCCUUAUGCCCUAUCCCAAAGCAUAUGAGAGACUCUUAAGACCCCUAUGGAAGGCCUCACCCUCCCUUGGGAACAGAAAGGGUAUGUGAUAGACAGGAUUUUUGUUGGNNNNNNNNNNNNNNNNNNNNNNNNNNNNNNNNNNNNNNNNNNNNNNNNNNNNNNNNNNNNNNNNNNNNNNNNNNNNNNNNNNNNNNNNNNNNNNNNNNAAGGGGAGGAGUGGAGGGAGAGGGAACUGGUAUUGACAUGAAAAACAAUCUUGUUCUUAAUUUUUAAAAAAAAAAGAAAAGGAAAGGAAAGAAAUUCAUGGUGUCUAGGAUGGUUAAAUAAUUACUCUCAAUAACUUAGCCUUUUACACUGUACCUUCCAGGCCACAUUUGAUCAGCACAAGUGUGAUUUUUCCAAGUAUUGAGUUAAAAAUAAAUCUUCCUUGCACAUAAUUCAUUAUGCAAAACUGAGCCAGUAAUCAAGAUAUUAAAACUGAAACUGUCGAUUCAGAGACAGGGGCACAUUUUCUACCGAGCAAACAGGAGCAGUUACUCAUGGAAAGAUUGUGGGAAUGCUCACCAGUUACCAAACCUAUCCUAAGAUUUAAUUGACUCUGUCUCCUACAGGUCUCCAGGACAGUUUCCCUUCUCUGGGGUUAUUUACUGCCUGGCUUUUAUGCUGUAUUUUAGCAAGGAAACUGACUGGAAAAAUCCUUAAGUAUCCUCAUUUUUAUUAGAUUUAAUACCUCGUAUUGAAAGUGGACAUGCAUUUAGAGAUGUAUUAAGAAUAAAUCAGGAUAGUGAUCUCAAACCCAGACAUGGAAACAAUUGACUACAAUUCUUGGAGAUCUCCAACAGAAGUGAUGAUUCAGCUAUCUCUCCCUCCUCACUGUAAGUGUGAAUGAAGCAGGGGAAGUGGGUUGGGAAGACAGGAUGAAAUAUACUUGACCCAUGACUCUGAUGCUAUUUAGCAGUAGACAGCAUUCCCUAAUUUUUCCUGGUGGAUGAGCAAAUUUCUAGCUGGUUUUGCCGAUAAUAAAGCUAUAUGCCAGAAAGUGUCCAUUCCUGUCAGGGUUGUCAUGUUAGUAACACUGUGCUGCCUAGUGGUUUGGAUGCAUACUCAUUGUGAACACUUGUUUUAAAUAUUCUAUUUGUAUUGUGAGGUAAUUUAAUUAUGUCUAGAGUAUAUUUUACAUAACUUACAUGAAAUAUAAUAUUGCAUAACCAUCAUUUAUGAAUAUAAUUUGUGUAUGAGGGUUAUAAUGCUGUAUUAAUCAUGUGUUUACCUGUAUAUAUGUGUGUUUUUGUGUGUAUGUGUUUGUGUGUGUGUAUACUUCCCAUAGUGCUAAAUAAAAUACUCUUUGAUUGAAGAAAAAAGCUUAUUUCAAUCUGUCUGCCAAAAUGAACUUAAUAGAACUUAGUAUCUUACAUUUCUUUAAUAAAAAAGAAUUAAGUUAAUAUUCACUUAUUUCAGAAAGGAGAAUUUUAUAUAUGAUUUGCCCUCAAGAAUUAAUUUUUUAUAUUGUAUAACCUAAUAGGGUUUGAUCAGUUGCAUUUGCAAGUUUUCAUCACAUUUUCGUUUCUCUUAUUCCCUUCAGAUUCAUAAAAAGUUAUUAAUAUUACUACAUGAGAAUUUAUUUUUGAUGAAUCCACACAUUUCCCCCCAAAAAGAAUUGCACUCCAAAUUCCACAAUGAGAUUUGCAUCAGAAUCUUAUGGAAUUAUGUUUUCUGUGAUACAAUUUUAAUAUAUUAAAUGCAGUUGUAUGUGCAUCCAUACACAUCAAGGUAUUGACAUUGAAUAUUCCCAAAUGGCAAAAAAUUCUGAAUAAAAGUCAAAACUAUACUCCUACUUACUUCAUUAUAUCAAAAUCACUGCAAAUAUUUUUAGGCUUCAUGAUUUCUGAUCCUAAUUCUAAGGGCUUUAUUAGGGCUAGAUAUAGUUCAAGAAUUUUGCAUAUUUUUCCUCUCGUGGAAAUUACUGAGUAAAAGUGUGUUUCCAUAUAAAUAAGAUACUGGAAUUUCAGAUAUUUUGUUGAAAAAUUCCCCAUAUGAGAUAAUUUUUGCUUUUAGACUUGAAUAAGUGAUUAUUACAUAGCUUGGUUGCCUGGAAAAAAACAUACAGUGCAAACAUAUUUAUGACUUACCAUACGUUUUCUCCUUGGAUAGGAAUAUGCUUGUGUAGCCUAGCUAAGAAAAAAAAAAAAAAACAAUAGAACUUACACGUAUCAAACUUUUCUUAUGUUCAGGAACUCUAUGAUACCAGUAUGCCUGGUUUUGAAAAAUGAGUGCACUGAAUGCCAUAAUUUCCACAAAAGUCUCCCCCAAAUCCUUAAAAACAUCUCAAUACCCAAUCAGCUUCCUGUUUCCUUUUUAUGGUAGACUAAUCCUAAAUUUAGUGUGAAAAAGAUGAAUGUUACUGAUGAGAGCCUGCUUCUUGUUUGCUUGACAGCAACUAACAAAGGAAUGGCUAUUUUAAUAAACACUAUGG
ensembl:lincRNA